GGAAAGUUUUUACCUUCUCGAUAAAGAUGACAUCAAAGACUUGAUCACGAAAGUUGGACCAAGGGCAAAAUUCAAGAAGAGACUCAAGUCUCUGAAGGGGGAGAAAAAUGCAACAAAUCAGGAACAUGAAGAAACUGCUGAUUCUGCUCAGGUUUUGGCCAACAGUAACACAAGAGAUAAAGGAAAAAGAAAGUCUGAGUCUCAGCGGGAGUCCAGCGGAUGUCUAUCACCAACUAAGAAACGACGACGGGACUCCACAUAUUCA